rnacentral:rRNA from 1 species
AUUGAACGCUGGCGGCAUGCCUUACACAUGCAAGUCGAACGGUAACAGGUCUUCGGAUGCUGACGAGUGGCGAACGGGUGAGUAAUACAUCGGAACGUGCCUAGUAGUGGGGGAUAACUACUCGAAAGAGUGGCUAAUACCGCAUGAGAUCUACGGAUGAAAGCAGGGGAUCGCAAGACCUUGUGCUACUAGAGCGGCCGAUGGCAGAUUAGGUAGUUGGUGGGAUAAAAGCUUACCAAGCCGACGAUCUGUAGCUGGUGUGAGAGGACGAUCACCCGCACGGGGACUGAGACACGGCCAAGACUCCUACGGGAGGCAGCAGUGGGGAAUUUUGGACAAUGGGCGCAAGCCUGAUCCAGCAAUGCCGCGUGCAGGAUGAAGGCCUUCGGGUUGUAAACUGCUUUUGUACGGAACGAAAAGCCCUGGGUUAAUACCCUGGGGUCAUGACGGUACCGUAAGAAUAAGCACCGGCUAACUACGUGCCAGCCGCCGCCGUAAGAC